UUCUUGUGAUUAGCAAUCAAGGACAGUUUCUCAGCUAAUCAGCACAGGAAGAAGAGCCUAUUGUAACAGACAAUAAAGGAACAUCUUGCAGACAGCCUAUCGUGAGACUUCACCUUGUGAUCAUAUUACAAGACCGAAUAAGAUAGACAUGACCUCCUUCCACCUGGACCUGAUCAUUGUUCCUCUAAAUCACUUCCACACAUGCAUUGCCUGGGGACUGGGGACUGGAUCCCAUGGCCAGACCAAAUCCCAAAGGAAGCUAUUGGAGAAUACACACCUUCAAAAUGAGGAGAAACAUACGAAAAGGAAGAUAAGAAUUCAAGAAGCCGGGCAUCCAACAAUAAUAACUAAAGAGGUAAGGUAAUUCUCAGGAUGACGUAACAGAAAGUCCAGAUUGGUGAAAGACAAUGAAGAACUAUAAGAGGUUUGUACUCCGAAAAGAAGAAGGAAAAAAGUGGAACUCACAGUCUGUCUAAAGUUUUUGACCAUGUUUCAAGGAAGUAUAUGGUUCUGUGCAAAGCUAGCAAAAGGUACAUUAAAAAAAUGAGAAAACAACAAAAUCAGGCAAUUACCAACUAAAAGAAGUAUAAAGAAUUUGGUACAAAAAAGGAAAUUAAUAAUGCACUACAUGCUAACUUGUUAACAAUUUUUACAUAGUACCAAUACGAUAAAUACAAUGUUAAUUUCAAACUGCAAUUAAUUAUGCUGGAAGGAUGUGGGAAGUGGGAGUCUUAAGAGAGUUAAAUUAUAAUCUUCACAACAGGAAGUCAACAGAUAAUACCUACUGAAUAUUUCUACUUUUUGGAGGGAUGUUGGGUUGGGGAACUACUAUUUCAUUUCCUUAAAGUACCAUUUGGCUUUUUAAAUUGCCUGUGCACAUGCAUAUACAUACAUAAUCUAAAGCUAAAUUUUUAAAACCA
rnacentral:lncRNA from 1 species